GAAGCAGUCUGUUUGUGUAGUUUGUUUGGAAUAAAAAGGCGAAUAUUCAAAAUUGUUAUCAAAAGUACAACCAUUUAUAGCAAAUAAGAUCAAAGAGUAUAUUUGGUCUGAGUACAAUAAAGAUUUCAUUGUUUGCCCUGACGUAAUAUGUUAAAAUUGUAGAAGAAACAUAUUUUUGCUGGAGAAGGGAUCAAGUACUUAUCUAUCAAACUGGAUGAAUAAAGUAUCUCAAAUUGACAGGCCAAGAAUAAGACGCAGUACUGAACUUAGUGAUAUUGUUCAACCAUUUUGUGGUAAAACACUAGCUGUAGGAUCUCCAAAGGAAAAUAUAUGUAGUUGCUGCUUUUCUCUCCUUGCAAGAGGAGGUCAUAGCAAUUGUAGUUCUGGUCA